AUUGAACGCUGGCGGCAGGCCUAACACAUGCAAGUCGAACGGUGACAGGAAACAGCUUGCUGUUUCGCUGACGAGUGGCGGACGGGUGAGUAAUGUCUGGGAAACUGCCUGAUGGAGGGGGAUAACUACUGGAAACGGUAGCUAAUACCGCAUAACGUCGCAAGACCAAAGAGGGGGACCUUCGGGCCUCUUGCCAUCGGAUGUGCCCAGAUGGGAUUAGCUAGUAGGUGGGGUAACGGCUCACCUAGGCGACGAUCCCUAGCUGGUCUGAGAGGAUGACCAGCCACACUGGAACUGAGACACGGUCCAGACUCCUACGGGAGGCAGCAGUGGGGAAUAUUGCACAAUGGGCGCAAGCCUGAUGCAGCCAUGCCGCGUGUAUGAAGAAGGCCUUCGGGUUGUAAAGUACUUUCAGCGGGGAUGAAGGGAGUAAAGUUAAUACCUUUGCUCAUUGACGUUACCCGCAGAAGAAGCACCGGCUAACUCCGUG
rnacentral:rRNA from 1 species